rnacentral:piRNA from 1 species
UCUGAGCUUUUGGGAAUAACCAUUAUCAG